GGUUAUAAUGCAAAAGGAUGAAACAAGCUAUUCAUAUGACUCAUAAUCGCUUGGUCACUGGUUCAAGUCCAGUAGGGGCCACCA
rnacentral:tRNA from 1 species